rnacentral:misc_RNA from 1 species
GAUGAAGAACGCAGCGAAAUGCGAUAAGUAGUGUGAAUUGCAGAAUUCAGUGAAUCAUCGAAUCUUUGAACGCACAUUGCGCCCCUUGGUAUUCCAUGGGGCAUGCCUGUUCGAGCGUCAUUUGUACCCUCAAGCUUUGCUUGGUGUUGGGCGUUUUUGUCUUUGGCCCGCCAAAGACUCGCCUUAAAAUGAUUGGCAGCCGGCCUACUGGUUUCGCAGCGCAGCACAUUUUUGCGCUUGCAAUCAGCAAAAGAGGACGGCAAUCCAUCAAGACUCCUUCUCACGUUUGACCUCGGAUCAGGUAGGGAUACCCGCUGAACUUAAGCAUAUCAAUAAGCGGAGGA